rnacentral:rRNA from 1 species
UACAGAGGUCUCAAGCGUUGUUCGGAUUCAUUGGGCGUAAAGGGUGCGUAGGUGGCGCGGUAAGUCGGGUGUGAAAUCUCGGAGCUUAACUCCGAAAUUGCAUUCGAUACUGCCGUGCUUGAGGACUGGAGAGGAGACUGGAAUUCAUGGUGUAGCAGUGAAAUGCGUAGAGAUCAUGAGGAAGACCAGUGACGAAGGCGGGUCUCUGGACAGUUCCUGACACUGAGGCACGAAGGCCAGGGGAGCAAACGGG